GAUUAUGGCUCAGGACGAACGCUGGCGGCGUGCCUAACACAUGCAAGUCGAACGGAGUCAAGAAGCUGCUUUUGACUUAGUGGCGGACGGGUGAGUAACGCGUGAGUAACCUGCCUCUGAGAGGGGAAUAACGUUCUGAAAAGAACGCUAAUACCGCAUAAAGUAUCGAAGCCGCAUGACUUUGAUACCAAAGAAUUUAUCGCUCGGAGAUGGACUCGCGUCCGAUUAGUUAGUUGGUGAGGUAACGGCUCACCAAGACCGCGAUCGGUAGCCGGACUGAGAGGUUGAUCGGCCACAUUGGGACUGAGACACGGCCCAGACUCCUACGGGAGGCAGCAGGUGGGGGAUAUUGCGCAAUGGGGGCAACCCUGACGCCAGCAACGCCGCGUGAAGGAUGAAGGUUUUCGGAUUGUAAACUUCUUUUAUCAGGGACGAAGCUUGACGGUACCUGAUGAAUAAGCUCCGGCUAACUACGUGCCAGCAGCCGC
rnacentral:rRNA from 1 species